CACUGUAACCUCGGCCUCCUGGGUUCAAGCGAUUCUCCUGCCUCAGUCUACCCAUUAGCUGUGAUUACAGGCGCACACCACCAUGCCCAGGUAAUUUUUUUUGUAUUUUUAGUAGAGACAGGGUUUUACCAUGUUGGCCAGGCUGGUCUGGAACUCCUGACCUCAAAUGAUCCACCUGCCUUGGCCCCCCAAAGUGCUGGAUUGUAGGUGUGAGCCACAAAAUUUUUAAGUUGUUUGUUUGUUUGUUUGUUUGUUUGAGACAGGGUCUCAUUCUGUUUCCCAGGCUGGAGUGUAAUGGCCCGAUCAUAGCUCACUGCAGCCUUGACCUCUUGGGCUCAAGCGAUCCUCCCACCUCAGUCUCUUGAGUAGAUGGGACUACAGGUGUGUGCCACCAUGCCCGGAUUUUUUAAUUUUUAAAACUUUUAGUAGAGAAGGGGUUUUGCCAUGUUGCCCAGGCUGGUCUCAAACUCCUGGCCUCAAGCCAUCCUCCUGCCUCAGCCUCCCAAAGUGCUGGGAUUACAGAUGUGAGUCACUGCGACUGGUGUAAUUUUUAAGUUUGUAUUGGAAAACAAUUUACCAUCUUCAAAUAUAUAUUAUCUCACAAAUAGAAAUAUAGUGAGAAGCUGGUAUUCAUGUUAGAUUCCAGUAAAGAAGAUUUAGGCUUAGGGUGAAGAAGGAUUCACAGCCCAUGAGUAUUAUUUAAGCACAGAAACUGAUGACUGUGUACUGUGCAGUGCAUGGAGAACCCUUUAUAAAGAACUUCCAGGAGAGACUGAAUUUAUCUGGCAGGGAUGGUUUGGGUUAAGGUUUUAACUUCUGUGCUGUUUUUGAUUAAAAUCUGCCAGCGCCUCUGACUGAGUUAGACCUCUCUGAUCUCUUGUUACUUUGUUAUUUCCUAAGAAUCUGAGCUGGAGCUGGAUGACAAAUACGGUCCUCUGCCCCGUCAGCCAUGGACCUGGGGGAUGACCUCUCCUUUGCCAGAGGAGGAUGGGAGCUGGCUCCACGGUUCCUGCUGGCUCCAGCCUCCCGCUGGCCUCUUCCACGGCCCUCUGCAUCUGAAGCUGCACCGCAUCCGGGUGUCUCAGCUCCCCCUCUGUGCAGACACACUGACAGCCACAUGUGGACUUCUCCCCCAGCUGCAGCUGGGAAUCGGCCUCCAGUCAGAAGCAGGACAGGGAACAAGCAUGGUGGUUUUGGUGUCAUGGAUUCAAAUCCCAGCUGGAUGACUCUGCUCACCUCACCUGCCUUUCAGUUUCCAUGAGCUGCUAUAUAGCAGAGUGGUCAGGAGCACAGACUCUAGAGCCCGACCCAAGGUUAAUCCCUGUUCUGCCACUGACUAUGGGAACACAGACAAGGCACUUCACUCUGGGCCUCAGUUUACCAGUCUCUUAAAUGGGGAUGGAUAUAAUCAUCCUCUUCUCUAGGGAUAUUGUGAGAGUUAAAGGAGGUAAUUAACAUAAAACCCUUAGAACAGUGCUUAGCGCAGGUGAGGGUCAUGUCGCUGAAUAUAAGACACUGUCUAUGCAUUACACUUUUAAAGAUGUUAAAAUGCAAAAAUGUGCACCCCUAUAAUUGAGGAGGUAAGGUAUAAUUUCGAGAUACUGCAUAGAAAACAUCACUGUAAACUCUAAAAUAAUAGGCAAAACCUAAAGUUCCUGGGUGUUUUCUGUGUGCCAGGCACUGUGCCAAGGACUUACAAGCAUUGUCCCAUUCAACCCUAUAAUAACCCUAUGAGGAAGGUUAUAGAAUCAUCUUCACUUUACAGAUGAGGAAACAGAGACCCCAAGACAUUAAGUGAUUUGUCCAAGAUCACACAGCUUUGUCCACAUAAAUGUUGGGCAUUCAUCACCACAACCGCAACUGUCCCACCCCUUUUUGGCUUCAUCUGGUUUAGAAAUUUUUUGUUUGUUUGUUUUUUUGUUUGUUUGAGACGGAGUCUCACUCUGUUGCCCAGGCUGGAGUGCAGUGGAGUGAUCUUGGCUCACUGC
rnacentral:lncRNA from 10 species